UGGGGCAGGGGGGCAGGAGGGGCUCAGGGAGAAAGCAUCUACAGCCCCUGGCCCUCUCUGCCCUUCCGUCCCCUGUCCCCAAAU
rnacentral:pre_miRNA from 14 species